rnacentral:rRNA from 1 species
CUCAUGAUGAACGCUAGCGACAGGCUUAACACAUGCAAGUCGAGGGGUAACAGGGUGUAGCAAUACACCGCUGACGACCGGCGCACGGGUGAGUAACGCAUAUGCAACCUGCCUUUGACAGAGGGAUAGCCCAUGGAAACGUGGAUUAAUACCUCAUAGUCUCUUUUUUCUUCCUGGGAAAUAGAGUAAAACGUCAGUGGUCAAAGAUGGGCAUGCGUCCUAUUAGGCAGUUGGCGGGGUAACGGCCCACCAAACCGAUGAUAGGUAGGGGUUCUGAGAGGAAGGUCCCCCACACUGGUACUGAGACACGGACCAGACUCCUACGGGAGGCAGCAGUGAGGAAUAUUGGUCAAUGGUCGAGAGACUGAACCAGCCAAGUCACGUGAGGGAAGACUGCCCUAUGGGUUGUAAACCUCUUUUCUACUGGGAGAAUAAGCCUUAUGUAUAAGGUGAUGACAGUACAGUAGGAAUAAGCAUCGGCUAACUCCGUGCCAGCAGCCGCGGUAAUACGGAGGAUGCGAGCGUUAUCCGGAUUUAUUGGGUUUAAAGGGUGCGUAGGCGGCUUUAUAAGUUAGUGGUAAAAUUUCGGAGCUUCACUCCGGUCCGCCAUUAAAACUGUAGAGCUAGAGAAUGGACGAGGUAGGCGGAAUAAGUUAAGUAGCGGUGAAAUGCAUAGAUAUAACUUAGAACUCCGAUAGCGAAGGCAGCUUACCAGACCAUAACUGACGCUGAUGCACGAGAGCGUGGGUAGCGAACAGGAUUAGAUACCCUGGUAGUCCACGCCGUAAACGAUGCUUCACCCGGCCCUUAGCGAUAAGACAGUUAGGGGGUAAUUUGAAAGAUUUAAGUGAGCCACCUGGGGAGUACGUCCGCAACCAAGAAACCUAAAAGAAAUUGACGGGGGCCCGCCCAAGCGGAGGAACAUGUGGUUUAAUUCGAUGAUACGCGAGGAACCUUACCUGGGUUUAAAUGUAUAUUGCAUAAUCUGGAAACAGUUUUUCUCUUCGGAGCUAUAUACAAGGUGCUGCAUGGUUGUCGUCAGCUCGUGCCGUGAGGUGUCGGGUUAAGUCCCAUAACGAGCGCAACCCUUACCGUUAGUUGCUAGCAUGUAAUGAUGAGCACUCUAGCGGGACUGCCACCGUAAGGUGAGAGGAAGGGGGGGAUGACGUCAAAUCAGCACGGCCCUUACAUCCAGGGCGACACACGUGUUACAAUGGCCAUAACAGCGGGUAGCUACCGGGUGACCGGAUGCAAAUCUCGAAAAUUGGUCUAAGUUCGGAUUGGAGUCUGCAACCCGACUCCAUGAAGUUGGAUUCGCUAGUAAUCGCGCAUCAGCCAUGGCGCGGUGAAUACGUUCCCGGGCCUUGUACACACCGCCCGUCAAGCCAUGGAAGCUGGGAGUACAUGAAGUCCGUAACCGCGAGGAUCGGCCUAGGGUA